rnacentral:rRNA from 1 species
GGAGACAGGUGCUGCAUGGCUGUCGUCAGCUCGUGUCGUGAGAUGUUGGGUUAAGUCCCGCAACGAGCGCAACCCUUGCCUUUAGUUGCCAGCAGUUCGGCUGGGCACUCUAAAGGGACUGCCGGGUGUUAAACCGGAGGAAGGUGGGGAUGACGUCAAGUCCUCAUGGCCUUUAUGACCAGGGCUACACACGUACUACAAUGGCCGAUACAAAGGGCAGCGACACUGCGAGGUGAAGCCAAUCCCGUAAAAUCGGUCUCAGUCCGGAUUGGAGUCUGCAACUCGACUCCAUGAAGUUGGAAUCGCUAGUAAUCGUGGAUCAGCAUGCCACGGUGAAUACGUUCCCGGGCCUU